rnacentral:lncRNA from 1 species
AUCGCAAGAGCUCUUAGUCACCUCAACUCUACUGGAACAAUACACGCAGAUCUGAAAUUAGAAAAUGUAAUGUUGGUGAAACAUCAACAAGAGCCAUACUGAAUUAAAGUAAUUGACUUCGGCCCGGCCUGUGAAACCUCAGCUGCCAAAGACCCGUCCUUACCAGUAAGUAGCUGGAAUCAAAUUUAAUUUCUUCCUCACACAGUCACACACACUUCAGUGUUUGUGCUUUAUGUUAGGGGUUUCUCAACUGUAGUAUAACUCAUACUCAAAUGGUCAGUAUUAACAAAAAAUGUAACAAUCAUUUCUUUUUGCCCUCCAUCAGGUCUCUAGAGAUUAUUCUGGAGCUUCUGUUUACAGAAGUCGUAGAUGUAUGGUCUCUGGGUACAUCUACGGCUGGGUACAUCUAUCCUAUUAGCAUUUUACUUAUUUUCUAACCCUUGAUUUUUAAUGUAUUGUAAAAUAUAAAUUUUGUUGUGCCCAUUUAUCCAAUGUGCUAACAAGUUCCCCAUCUUUUCAGACACUUGAGCAAUAUUUCCAAGUGUCUGGGGUUUGGUUCAUGGAGACAAGAGAAAUAAAGUUCUCUGGAUGACCUCUUCUAUGUAAGUAUACUUUUUGACCAUUUAGUUGGCAAAAAAAAGAACAUGUUUCUAUGGAGAACAUGACACACUCAAAUAAGUCUAUUUAGUUGACUUUUGUUGCUUUCUUCACCUUUCAGAUCACUGAGCAUCAGGAUUAUGCAAAUAAAACUGCUGAAAUGUUUGAUUUCCUGAUGUUUGUUGAAAUGGUGAAAAACUUGCUUCACCUCCAUCCCGAAAAACGGAUGACACCCCGUCAGGUGCGGGACCAUCCCUUUGCAAGAAUGCACCACCUUGCAUGCUUGCACCACCUUAGCUCCUACAUCAAGUCCUGCUUUGAGCACAUAAACGUCUUUAUUACAAAGAAAACAGCGACAUCAGAUAGCGGGACAGAAGUGUGUGGGUCUCUGCACCAGGCCACCUCUGACACCAGACAACCUGCCUAACAGAAGUUCCCUCCCCCUUCAGCUCAGAGGAGCAGCCCCAAUUCAUCAGGUCCAAUCACUGGAAAAAUGCUGAGACAUUUCCAAUCAAAUCACAGUUUAAAAGAAAGAGUCUUGAAGAAGAUAUAAAGGAUAUGGGUGGGCCAGAGCUUAAAAGAAAAAUGACUGAUUGGAAAAACGCAAGCAGAAAAAUACCAUAUCGACGUGAAAGGUCACAUCAUGACCAGAACAAAUGCCAUUAUUCAUCGGGUCCAUCUUGCGCAACCAGUGGCUCUCGGCAAGCCAGACCAAACCUACUUUGACAGGUCAAAUAAGAGGGCCAGAGCAAACUACAAAGAUGAUAAGAGCCACAUCUUCGUUAACACCAUACACUACACCUACUACUACCUCCCUGCACCCAAGAAAAUGCUAAAUAAACCAGCUGUGAUACUGGUGACUGUUCUUGAUCAGUGAUUUUUUUGUUUUGUUUUGUUUUUUUAGUCACCGUCUAGACUUUUGUUUCUGUAAUUUGAGGUCAUCACAUUUUUUAUUUUACUAUUUUUAUAUGUUAUAAGCACAAAAGAGCACCUUUUUAAUUUCAGUUGUUUUAUUUUGUCUUGUGAAUUCUUGCUUGAUGUCCUUUUUUAUCUUUUGUUUGUUAAAGGUCUAGUAUUGAUCACGGAAAGAGGCUUACUGUCACAGUAUUAUCAUUUGUGAAAAACCUCUGUGUGUAACUGAUGGCUAAAAUUCUUUUUCCCUUUGAUUCAGAUUUCUUGUAUUCAAAGUAGAAUAAAAAUAUUGAAUAACUAAACCCGUUCAAGUUUAGGCACUGUAUGGUUGAAAAUAACAUUUGUUUUUGGAGGUUAUUUAAAUAUAAUAAUAAUAAUAAUAAUGGAUUGCAUUUAUAUAGCGCUUUUCGGGACCCCUCAAAGCGCUUUACAAUACCACUAUUCAUUCACUCUCACAAUAUAUCGUGAUAUGUAUCGUGUAUCGUGAUAUAGCCAAAAAAUAUUGUGAAAAAUGUGCCAAAUAUUUUAUUCUGCUAUUGACUCUUGUUUUAAGCUUCUUGUACCCCAGAUACUGUGAGCAUGAACUCUGCUACAGUAGUCAGCUGGUGUCUGAUCCAAGCACGACACAUUUGAAUGGUCUACAUAUCGUAUGUACUAUAUGGCAGAAAGCUAUAUUACAGUGUUGAAAACCGAAAAAAUACGCAGGUUAAGCAAAAUACAAGAACUCAAAUGGAGUCUGAGCUUUUGUUUUUUUAAUUAAUCAAUUAAUUGAUUUUAAACUUUAAUUUGAGAAAUUUGUUGUGCAAGAACAACAACAACAAAAAAAAAUAUCAGAAGCUUCUCAUUUUAGCUGUAUUUGCAUAUGGGGAAAAAUGCUCACAGCUCAUUCUGAGUUCUUUUGUAGACCUGAAACAGGCCAAGUAUAAAAUCACUCUUACUGUAAGGUUAAUUACAGUUUAAGUAGAGUUAGCAGUUAUUCUCAGAAGGUUAACACUGUAAGUCUGUCUUUUGGAAUUAAAACAAGCUUAAAGUAAACCAU